rnacentral:rRNA from 1 species
AUGGAGAUCAUCAGCAGUUUUGGGAACGCAUCGGGUUUGCAUCUUAACAUCAACAAGUCAUCAGUCACGCCCAUUAGACGUGAGAACAUUAAUCUUCAAGAGGUUCUGCAGAACUUUGGCGGCAGCAUUAAUGAGUUCCCGAUCAAGUACCUUGGUCUCCCAAUCAUUUUGGGGCGAAUCAGACUCGUUCAUCUCCAGUUCAUUUUGGACAGAAUUAGAGCCCGUUUGGCAGGGUGGAAGGGCCGGCUGAUGUAAAUUGCUGGGAGGAGGGUGCUAGUCAGAAGUGUGCUGUCAGCCAUCCCUACUUUCGCCCUCUCCGUGCUGCAUCCACCCAAAGGAAUCUUCAGAGAAAUCAACAAAGUGCGCAGGCGGUUCCUAUGGGCACAAGAUGAUCGGCUAAACGGUGGCCACUGCAAGGUGGGAUGGAAGAAAGUCUGCACACCAGUUGAUCGCGGGGGCCUCGGUAUUCUUGAUCUCAAUAAAUUCUCAAGAGCUUUGCGCCUCAGAUGGAUAUGGCUAUCCUGGCAAAAUAGCGACCGCCCUUGGAAAGGUUCUGCGCUUCCCUGUGAUGCAGGAGACUGGGAAUUCUUUGACAAAGCAACAUCAGUUACCCUGGGCAAUGGCCAGAUUGCUUCGUUCUGGCGAUCCUCAUGGCUUACAUCUCCCUGCCUGGCAACUUUAUUCCCGGAUCUGUACAAGCACUCCAGGGGGAAAACCAAAUGUGUGGCUGAUGCUCUAGCAAAUGACUCCUAG